UGGGGCGUAGCCAAGUGGUAAGGCAGAGGACUUUGGAUCCUCGAUCGCUGGUUCGAAUCCAGCCGCCCCAGCCA
rnacentral:tRNA from 1 species